CAGUGCUUAACGCUGUUGUGCUAUAGAAACUGUUUUACUAGAGUGAGAUAGAGGCAAGCGGAAUUCCAUGUGUAGCGGUAAAAUGCGUAAAUAUAUGGAGGAACACCAGAGGCGUAGGCGGCUUGCUGGGUCUUUACUGACGCUGAGGCACGAAAGCGUGGGGAGCAAACAGGAUUAGAUACCCUGGUAGUCCACGCCGUAAACGAUGAGUACUAAGUGUCGGGUAAAACUGGUACUGAAGUUAACACAUUAAGUACUCCGCCUGAGUAGUACGUACGCAAGUAUGAAACUUAAAGGAAUUGACGGGACUCCGCACAAGCGGUGGAUCAUGUUGUUUAAUUCGAAGAUACACGAAAAACCUUACCAGGUCUUGACAUUUUCUUGCGAAGUUAUAGAAAUAUAAUGGAGGUUAUCAGGAAAACAGGUGGUGCAUGGUUGUCGUCAGCUCGUGUCGUGAGAUGUUAGGUUAAGUCCUAAAACGAGCGCAACCCUUGUCGUUAAUUGCCAGCAUGUAAUGAUGGGGACUUUAACGAGACUGCCAAUGAAAAAUUGGAGGAAGGUGGGGAUUACGUCAAAUCAUCAUGCCCCUUAUGAUCUGGGCUACAAACGUGAUACAAUGGUUGAUACAAAGAGUAGCUGAAACGCGAGUUCUUAACCAAUCUCAAAAAAUCAAUCUCAGUUCGGAUUGAAGUCUGCAACUCGACUUCAUGAAGUUGGAAUCGCUAGUAAUCGCGAAUCAGC
rnacentral:rRNA from 1 species